GAUGAACGCUGGCGGCGUGCCUAAUACAUGCAAGUCGAGCGAACAGACGAGGAGCUUGCUCCUCUGACGUUAGCGGCGGACGGGUGAGUAACACGUGGAUAACCUACCUAUAAGACUGGGAUAACUUCGGGAAACCGGAGCUAAUACCGGAUAAUAUAUUGAACCGCAUGGUUCAAUAGUGAAAGACGGUUUUGCUGUCACUUAUAGAUGGAUCCGCGCCGCAUUAGCUAGUUGGUAAGGUAACGGCUUACCAAGGCAACGAUGCGUAGCCGACCUGAGAGGGUGAUCGGCUACACUGGAACUGAGACACGGUCCAAACUCCUACGGGAGGCAGCAGUAGGGAAUCUUCCGCAAUGGGCGAAAGCCUGACGGAGCAACGCCGCGUGAGUGAUGAAGGUCUUCGGAUCGUAAAACUCUGUUAUUAGGGAAGAACAAAUGUGUAAGUAACUAUGCACGUCUUGACGGUACCUAAUCAGAAAGCCACGGCUAACUACGUG
rnacentral:rRNA from 1 species